rnacentral:rRNA from 1 species
ACCAAAGUUUCCGUAGGUGAACCAGCGGAGGGAUCAUU